ensembl:lncRNA
UACCACUAGGUCACAUUGGGAGUUGUAGUUCCCCAGGAUGUCACAACACUUUAAAACACACAAAUGACAUACACACAGUGUGAUCCAUGCAAAAACAAGCAGGCAGAUAGAUACAUAAACUACACCGAUAGGAACACAAAGACAUAGAUAGAUCGAUAGAUACAUCGAUAGAUAGAUAGAUAGAUAGAUAGAUAGAUAGAUAGAUAGAAAGACAGAUCGACAGACAGAGAGAUAGAAAGGUACAUAGAGAGACAGAGAGACAGAUAGAGAGAGAUAUUUGUGUAUCCCUGUCUACCUCUCUAUCGAUAUGCCUGACUUUCUGUGUCUCUCUCUGUCUCUCGAUUCCAUUUUCCCUCUAUAUGCCCUUCCAUCUAUCUGUCUCUGUCUGUCCCUUUGUUUCACCUUCCCUCAUCCUGUAGUUCUAUUAAUCUUUCAAUGUCUCGAUCUCACAUUCUGUUUCUGUCUGUCCCUUUGUUUCACCUUCCCUCAUCCUGUAGUUCUAUUAAUCUUUCAAUGUCUCGAUCUCACAUUCUGUUUCUGUUUCUAUGUCUUUUUGUUCUAUGUUCCUAUCUAUUUAUCUCUCGAUCUGUCUGUCUGCCUGCCUGUCUAUCUCUCUUUCUGUGUUUGACUACGUGUCUCUCUAUGUGCUAUCUCUAUAUCCAUCUAUCUGCCCUCCUACCUAUCUCACUACCCAUCUGCCAGUCGGCCUGCCUAUCGGUCUUUCUAUCUGUCUGUCUCUAUCUCUCUGGAUUCUCACGGGAUCAGGGAACAAGUACAACCUUUGGAGUCUCCAAUCUAUUAGCUCCUCCGGAAAUCCAGGCUACACCAGAUACGUCUAGGCCCCAAGUUUGGGGUUUCUUGAUUCCAGGUUGACAAUAGAAAAACCGGGAAGGCCAUGGUCCUUUGAUAUUCCCUCAGACUCGGGAAUGGCGAGAUUGGUGUGAGAGCAAAAGAGUGUUCUAAAAUUUUAACUCUGUCUUUGCAAGAUAGGAUUCACGGUGCUGUCCAUCAAUAGAACACUUUCUACAUCUUGCUGUCCUUUAAUUUUUACAGCUGUUCAACAAAUAACCAGAUAAACAACAGACAAUGAAUCACGUGGGAUUUUACAAGUCUGUGCUAUGAUUUUCAUCACGGUCAAAGUGCAAGCAAUUCUGCUUCCAGCAAAAAAAAAAAACGAUACUGUAUUUACAUUAACAGACCACCAUUGGCAAAUACAGAUUCUACUGUUUCCUGAUUUGAUGCAGUGGAUGUAUUCACAGCAUCGGCAAUACGGUGUGUCAACAUGGAAUCUAGAAAUCCCAAACUUGUGGCCUAGUGGGAUCUGGUGAAGCCCAGAUUUAAGGAGGAGCUUGUAGGUUGAAGACCCCAAAGUUUGUACUUCUUCCCUGUUCCCAUGGGAAUCCUCCCUGAGGGAAUCCGAGGUGAGCAGUUUCAGACUGACGAGGGACCCUCGGGAGAAUGACAAUCGUAGUUAGAUAGUCUCCCCAAUUUGAUCAAGAGACCCUUUCCCAAGAAGAUCCACACCUGGCGAGGACUAUUCUUCAGUAUCCACUAUA